CUAACUACUAACUAAUUAACAAACAAGGUGGGGAAAAUAAAUGAAAAAUGAAACUAAAAAGGAAAAGAAAAGCUAGACUAAAAUCUGUUUAAAGAAAGAAUAAAAAUAUAAAAUGCAAGCUAAUGUAUCUAAUCUAUAUUCACAGGAAAACAAAAAUCAAAGAAUCUGAACUAAAAAAAAUAUUCUAACAUGAAUUCAAUAGAACUAAAAAUAAAGAAACAAACUAAAGAUAUGAAUCUAAAGCAAAGAACAGAGACAAAUGUGCAAUAGAUUGAAUGAAAGAGUCUCAAUUCCUCUUCAGAAAGACAUUCCGAGAAAGGUAAGCCCAUCACAGGGUCUUUUUUGUUCAUAUUUCAGAACUUACAGUG
rnacentral:lncRNA from 1 species